rnacentral:lncRNA from 1 species
UGUUUAGCCUCGUGUUAUGCCAAAGGUCAUCAUCAUCAUCACUCUCGCUCUCUUACCAUACUCGGUUUUGCCAUGGAGCAUGCGACCUAGGCACUUCUCUAUAAGUUUUCCUUUGUUCCUUCUCUCUUUCCCAUCUACCUAUUCUCUUUUCUAAUCUCUUCAUCUUCUCCCUUCUUUCCCUCCUUAUUUCAUCCAUGUUCAUUGCCAUUGUUUUAGACAAGUUUUCCAAUGACCGGUUAAGGUUGGCUGAACUAUCUUCUAGGGCUUUCAACCUCCUAUCUUGGUUGUUAUAAUGGGGGGACUCCAUCUCCUUUUAACCCUCUAUUUUAGGACUCUAAAACCUUGAGACAACAGUCCCUCAAACUCCCAAAAAUCAGAACUCAACAAUCUCCAAAACUUGCUGCACAAAAAUUUCUGGGUUGCUGAAAAUUUCUGCGGCAGUCCACAAACUUCAGCAGCCAGUUUCUCCUUCAAGGCAGACUCAAAUCACCCCACGAAGAGGCCUAUGACAGUAACUAAUAACCUCAGAUACUCUCCACAAAAAAUCAGAAUUAAAGCUUCAGAAAAACCCUUCUCUUAGAAACCCAACAAACACCUUGUUGCAGAAUUUUUCUGCAACACAGAGGCUUCUUAAACCAGUCCCCAAACCUCCUGCGGUUGUCACCCAAUGGAUGAACCAACCCACCUGACGUGUACACCACUCAAUCAACCUCCGACAGGGGUUUCCCAAGGAUGAAAAAAUAGAAAAUUAAAUCUCCCAAUCUAAUAUAAGUUCAAGCCCAAUAUAAAAUGCAGAAUUUUUAUGAACUUCAGACUAAGAUAUAUGGGCUGCAGAAAUUUUAAUCUCCCUCGGACCAACCAAUAUGGGUUUCAGAAAGUUAAAACAGCAAUGGAUCAAAUAUAUUUAACACCCAAUUCCAAUCUUCCAACACUCCAAUUCAGAUCUGAAAAUUUCUGCAGGGUCCUCAAACAUCAAGAUAUAUGUAUUGCAGAAUUUCAGAUCAAGGAUAUGGGGUUGCAGAAUUUUUAAAACAACUCCAGAUCCUAAUAUGCUCCAAAAAUCUAUUCCCCAAACACCAAAAAUCAGAUCUGGAAUUUUCUGUAGAUGAGAACGUUACCUCCUUGAAGAAUAUAUCUCUCAAUGAAAGCACCAAAUUGAUGGGGGCUCACGGUCCAAAGCCCCUCACCAAGCCUCUUUUCCUUGCGCUCCUUGCGUGCGCCUCCAA